UACAGUGAUUCCCAACAUUUGUUUGCUCAGUUUGUGCUAGUGUGUCAUUUCGGUUAAUUAAUACAGCAUGCUAGCUUAGUUUGUGUUAGCGUGUGAUUUAAGCUAACACGGUUAAUGACUCACGAGUGAAAUGAUUCUUUGGGGGGGUAAACAGUUUAACUUUGACUUCUUAUUCCUCAUGAAUAUUAUCAAUUCGCUGUGAGAGCUAGCUAGCGGAGUAGUUUCCCCGAAAACGCAGGCAUUCAAUUUGGCAUGAAAGCCUGCAUUUGUUGCCCUGUUUCCGGAAAUCCAAGCGCAGUUCGGCGUGGAAUUGAGAACAUUGCCAGGGGGAGCGGAGCUGGCCAGAAAAUGUAAAUCGGAGGUCUCGGAGCUUUGUCAGCUGUAUACUACCGACGCUCUUUAUUUCAUCCACAGCAGUUUUUACGUCAGAUUGAGCAUCAAGUCUUUCCAAAUGUGCUUUCGGAGAGUCGGAGGGUUGGACUGCGAGGUAGCUGUCGCGCCAAAUGGAGCUCCGGGAUGGGAGGAUGCAGCCUUCCUCACUGCAAGACAUCCAGAGUCUGUCUGAGCGCUCGCAGCAUCACAGGGCAUGGAGAUACACUUUUUAGCCACACGGUGGCAGUGUUGAACUCUGGAGAGGAGCUUCCAAAAUGACAUGAUUGUAAUUUUUUUAAUAGUAAUAACUUUUCAUGUCAUUUUCUGUUGGAGUGCAUGUAAAUUUAGUUUUUUUUUUUACAGCCAUCUCAUAUUUGGUGUGACAAAUGGUCACCAGGCAGAAGAGAUGCUAAGACAAAAUAAAAAGAAGCAAUUUGCAAUGAGUGCACUACAAAUUGAUAGUGUUUUGCUCUCCUAAGUGAACCAUAGCGACAGUAACACGAUGUUUGGCAAGAAUAGAAGUGUUGCUUUCAUAUCCAUUUAUGACAGAAUGGUGCAUUCAAUGGGAUUCUUUUAGAGGAUGUGGUCGCCAUGGGAACCACCUUGAUCGACACAAAGCGAUGAGAAAGGGCCUUUUGACAAGAUUGGAUUUUCCCCCAAUCUACACCUGAACACACAUUCAUUUUGUUCUUACCUGUGUCAAAGAGAAAAAUAAAUGUAUAAACACCUUUAGAAAAUAGAUGGAAUAAAAGAGGGGACCUAAGAUUGAACCUUGUUGGACACCAUGUAUUUUUGCUGGAUAAAUAUUGAUUCUCAACUGCUCCAGAUGAUGUUUUAGAAUAGUUUUGAAAGAUUACAGUAAUAAAAAACCACCCGCGAUAAGUGAAAUCCGCGAUUUCCCCCAUUUUUUGUGUCAAUAAAUGUAUAUGAAACCA